AGCCUGGGAAACUGGGUCUAAUACCGGAUAUGACCUUCCCCUGCAUGGGGGUUGGUGGAAAGCUUUUGCGGUACAGGAUGGGCCCGCGGCCUAUCAGCUUGUUGGUGGGGUAAUGGCCUACCAAGGCGACGACGGGUAGCCGGCCUGAGAGGGCGACCGGCCACACUGGGACUGAGACACGGCCCAGACUCCUACGGGAGGCAGCAGUGGGGAAUAUUGCACAAUGGGCGAAAGCCUGAUGCAGCGACGCCGCGUGAGGGAUGACGGCCUUCGGGUUGUAAACCUCUUUCAGUAGGGACGAAGCGCAAGUGACGGUACCUACAGAAGAAGCACCGGCCAACUACGUGCCAGCAGCCGCGGUAAUACGUAGGGUGCGAGCGUUGUCCGGAUUUACUGGGCGUAAAGAGCUCGUAGGCGGUUU
rnacentral:rRNA from 1 species